UUAAGCCAUGCAUGUCUGAGUUCAUACCUAGUAAACGUGAGACUGCGAAAGGCUCAGUACAUCAGUUAUAGUUUAUUCGAUUGUGAAAUCCACAUGGAUAACCGUGGAAAAUCUAGAGCUAAUACAUGCGAAAAAAUUCUUACUAACGGCGCAAUCUGUUAGUGGAUGAUGCAUUUAUUAGAUUAAACCAAUCGAUGUUACAGUGGCUUCAACACUGUUGUAACAUUGCUGUGGUGAGUCUGGAUAACUGUGCCGAUCGUAUGGCCUUGAGCCGGCGACAUUUCGAUUAAAUUUCUGCCCUAUCAACUUGUUGGUAAGGUAGUGGCUUACCAAGGUGAUAACGGGUAACGGGGAAUCAGGGUUCGAUUCCGGAGAGGGAGCCUGAGAAACGGCUACCACAUCCAAGGACGGCAGCAGGCGCGCAAAUUACCCAAUCCAGACACUGGGAGGUGGUGACGAGAAAUACCAGGUCGGUCCCAAAAGGAUUCGACACUGGAAUGAGUUUAAUUUAAAAAUUUAAAUGAGAAACAACUGGAGGGCAAGUCUGGUGCCAGCAGCCGCGGUAAUUCCAGCUCCAGUAGUGUAUCCAAACGUUGCUGCGGUUAAAACGCUCGUAGUUGGACAAGAGAGUAACUUGGUGCGGGCGGGGAGUGUGAUUGCUCUAUGUGUUUGCUUCUUGUGGUUGUUGUUGCUUGUUUUGCGCAAGUAACAAUGGCACUUGAGGAUGUAGCAUAGUAGUGCACUUGUCGACCAUGCUGCCAGGUUCCUUGUAAUGAUUCGUGAGAAUGGUACAUGGUCUUUAUUGUAUUGUGUACUGUGUCUUACGUAGUGUGCCUUGAAUAAAUCAGAGUGCUCAAAGCAAGCUAUCGCUUGAAUGUUAAUAGCAUGGAACGAAUGUGUUGUGAGAGUGUGCUGGUAGAUGUCACUUGUGAUUAUCUAUUAGUACACAGCACCAACCGCGAAGCGGACCAUUGGUUGCCGACUUCGGGUGAGGAUUAAGAGGGGCAUUUGGGGGCAUUAGUAUUUGGCCGCGAGAGGUGAAAUUCUUGGACCGGCCAAGGACUAACAAGUGCGAAAGCAUUUGCCAAGUAUGUUCCCUUUAAUCAAGAACGAAAGUGAGAGGUUCGAAGACGAUCAGAUACCGUCCUAGUUCUCACCGUAAACGAUGCCAACCCGGGAUCAGUCCGGAUGAGAUUAUUUGGAUCCAGGUUGGUCCCCCUGGGAAACCUUGAGUUUUUAGGUUCCGGGGGGAGUAUGGUUGCAAGGCUGAAACUUAAAGGAAUUGACGGAAGGGCACCACCAGGGGUGGAGCCUGCGGCUCAAUUUGACUCAACACGGGAAAACUCACCUGGUCCGGACAUCGAUAGGAUUGACAGACUAAUAGAUCUUUCAUGAUACGGUGGGUGGUGGUGCAUGGCCGUUCUUAGUUCGUGGAGCGAUCUGUCAGGUUGAUUCCGGUAACGGACGAGACCAUGUUCUUCAUUUAGGGAACUACAAGACAAGUAGUAUGUAAGUGGUGGGGUGUCUCUCUCUGUCUCUGUCCCCUUCUCUCAUGUACUUGAUUAAUAAGGGUGCGUGAAGGCGGGUGUGUGAUAGAUAUCCUACAAGAUGUCGUCAUCAUCAUCUUUCAUCCAUCUACUAUGAAGUGAGUAUAUGUGGGUUGGGGGCAGUGUAUUGGGGGAUCCCUCUUCUCGUGUGCUAUUUGUAAAGUUGUAGUGUGCGUAUAGCAAUGUACGUCCCUAUGGAGAGACAGCCGGAUUGUAAGGCGGAGGAAGCGUGGCAAUAACAGGUCUGUGAUGCCCUUCGAUGUUCAGGGCCGCACGCGCGCUACAAUGAUAACGACAACGAGAGUCUGGACUGAAAAGUUCUGGGUAAUCUUUUGAAUCGUUAUCGUGAUGGGGAUUGAGCAUUGUAAUUGUUGCUCAUGAAAUAGGAAUCCCUUGUAUACGUGUCUCACUUAGGACACGUAGAAUGCGUCUCUGCCCUUUGUACACACCGCCCGUCGCUACUACCGAGUGAAUGGUGUCAUGAUGUCUUGGGACUGGACGUUGUUGGCAGUGAAAGCUGCGGACGAUGCUAGGAGCAAGCCAAAAUGGCGCA
rnacentral:rRNA from 1 species